UAAUACAUGAGAAACUAGGUUUUAUAUGAAGAUGAUUUUGUUUUGUUCCCCAAUAUUUUGUUUUCAUGAUAACAAAAAACAAAAAACAAAACAAAAAAAAAACAAUGACUGAAGGAGUUUUCACAUUAUUAAGUGAACUGCAUAAGGAAGAUCUGGAGUAAAAAAUAUUUUUAAUAUCUAGAAGUUUCACAGGAGAAUGUGCUUAAAUAAAUCAACAGAACACCUUGUAUUACUUGAGGAGUUCAAAUGUUGGAAGUUCUCAAGUGCCUGAUUUUGUGGUCCCAAACUUCUCUCUCACUUGCAGAUGCUCUGUGCAUUCAGUAGCAGGGGUAUUGUUAAAUUUGAGAAGACAAGCCAAUAACCCUUAACUUCCAUAACAUUCAUAUUAAGUGCAGAAGAAUUAAAUGUUGUGUUGCAAAUAUGCACAUCUGGCUUUUCUGUUGUAAUCUUAUAUUAUUCUAGUAGUUGACUUUAGGAAAAAAAUGUUAAUUGCUAUGCAACUAAACUCCAAGAAAUAUGCUUUAUCAAGUGUUUUAAUAAGAUAUAUACUGUUUAUUUUUGCUUGAUUUCUUUUAAGAAUUUACAGAACACAAUGCCUAAACACUAUCCUUGCCCUUGGUCUUCCUUUUGUAUAUCAACUCUAUCUAAACCAGGGAUCUAUUGUCAAUGUAUUGGCCAUUAAGGGAUAACAAGUCAUCGCUGAGCACUCAGAAAUGAAUGAGAUGGAGUUUCACCAUGUUUCCCAGUCUUUUCUUAAAUUCUUGAGCCCAAGACAUCCUCCUCCUUGGCCUCCCAAAGUGCUAGGAUUACAGAUGUGUGCCACUCUGCCCAGACUCUAUUAGGAAUUUAGACUUUGAGAAAUUAAAUGGCUUAUACUUAUGUCAUACAACCAGUAAUUCCAGGUGCACCAUUCUGUUGUCCUACACCUUUGGAGUGGUUUUGCUUAGAAAGGAUGAAACAAUUCAGCUGUCAUUUUAAUAUAAAAGACUUUUUAGGACACAGGGUGUUUUGAGGUGAUGCCUUGACUUGCAUUAUAAAAAUACUGACAGCUAUCAAAAUGUCAACUUGCAUCUCCUUUGUUGCAGACUUGAUACCAAAGUGUUGGAUAUUUACUUACCAAGAAUGAAAUGGGCUAUAUAUUCUCAGUGCCCCCAAAAAGAAUAUGUGAAUAAAAAUGAAAAAGUGCAAGAGUGAAAUUAUAGGAUUUGUCUGUGCUCUGCUGUCUUAACGGGAGGCAGGAGCAUGGUCCUUAUCUGCUCUCUCAUAUCAAGGGGAUAAAAGAAUCUUGGCUUAUAACUUAAAUUUUAGUGGUUUUAUAUCAGUCGUUGUACUUUUUAGAGUUUCACUUUCUUUAUUAGAACUGAGGUGGACCUCAGGGAUCUGCCAAAGUUCUUUUGGUGUUGUUGUUACUUUGUUUUUGAAAAUCAUAGAAUAAUUCUCUAAUGACAUAUAGCAAUCUUUUGGCAUGGCUUGACCUGUCCAGAUUUUUCCGGCACCCAUCCUAGAAUUUUCAGGUUUUUUUCACAUCUCCUCUUAAUGACACUUUUCUUAGAGAAAGUUUUCCCACAGCCCGCCAAGCUCAGUAAAGUUUCAUUAUUACAUGCUGUCAUAGAAUAGCAUUCUUUACCUGCAUUGCACGUUUAUCAACUUUUCAUUAUGCAUUUAUUUUAGGGUUACUUAAUCAGUACCAGCUUCUCUUAUUUGACUCUAGACGUCACAACAUCUGGAAACUUAUCUUUCUGCUCAUUUUUGUAAUAGUGCCCUGUAUUAUUAGACUAAAUUUAGUUUCUCAGUAAUGUUUAUUAAAUGACAAGAUGAAUAAAUAAUGUUUCUUUUUUUAACUUCUCUGAGCC
ensembl:lncRNA